rnacentral:lncRNA from 15 species
UUUUUCUAUAGACACAUUAAGCUUAAACAGAGAGGGAAAAAAAUACGACUAAGGUGGCUGAGCCUCCUUAUGAUCCCACUUAUAUCCACAAAAUGACCAACUUAAAAGGUCGUUGUAAACUUUAAUAUUGUGGAGAAACAUAUAGCAAAUGCUAAGUAAAAUUCUAAACUGGUGUGAAAACUGGUGUGUAACUCUGGAGAUCAUAAAUUACAAUCAAAUGGAUGAACGGACACAAAGGGAAACUGACACCCAUCAAUAUCUAUAUGCGCAACAACAUUCAACACAAAUGACGUAACAGAACAUAUGGACAGUGUUGAAGUCUUGGUUUAUUAAACUCACCACAGUUGAAGUUCUGCACACAUCUUUAAUCAAGGUGCUUAGUCGUUACAUCAUUUCCUUCCUUGAAGUGGAUUUGCAUUGCAUUUCUUUGCAUGUGCACUUGAAAGAAAAACAUAUUUUGGGUGCUGUGCAAAUUUCAGAAUGUAGACGUUGAAUAGUCAGAACAGAUCAGAAGAUUUGACUUUGGAUCUGUCACAAUGAACUACUGUCUCUUGUCCCUUCUCCUGGGUUUACUCAUCAUUCCUGUAACUAGUGAUUUUCCUCCUGGUUCUUGUGAUGGAUACACCAACAUAACUGAACCAUGGCGCAACCGAGACUUCACAUCUACUACCUUCCCUGGCUUUCCUAAAAAUGAUGCGAAGCUGGUGAACAGUUGGUGGCGCUUCACAGGCAUCGGUGGAGACAGAGUUAUUACAG